GCGAGUGUGGGCACGGAAGUCGGUCCGUGAGUGGAACGAACGGACCGUCUUCCGGUGGUCCAAGGGUUCAAAUCCCUUCCCUCGCA
rnacentral:tRNA from 1 species